rnacentral:rRNA from 1 species
GACGAACGCUGGCGGCGUGCUUAACACAUGCAAGUCGAGCGGUAAGGCCCUUUCGGGGGUACGACGAGCGGCGAACGGGUGAGUAACACGUGGGUGACCUGCCCUCAGCUCUGGGAUAAGCCUGGGAAACCGGGUCUAAUACUGGAUAUGACUCCAUGACGCAUGUUGGUGGGGUGGAAAGCCUUGUGCGGCUGAGGAUGGG